CUACGGAGGGUGCAAGCGUUAUUCGGAAUCACUGGGCGUAAAGGGUGCGUAAGCGGUUUGAUAAGUCUGAUGUGAAAUCCUAUGGCUCAACCAUAGAACUGCAUUGGAAACUGUCAAACUAGAAUACUGAAGGGGCAGAUGGAAUUAGUGGUGUAGGGGUAAAAUCCGUAGAUAUCAUUAGGAAUACCGAAAGCGAAAGCGAUCUGCUGGGAAGUUAUUGACGCUGAGGCACGAAAGCGUGGGGAGCAAACGGGAUUAGAAACCCUAGUAGUCC
rnacentral:rRNA from 1 species